rnacentral:lncRNA from 1 species
AAAUAAAAAAAGUAAAAGAAAAAAUUAAGUCAUAGUAAUAAAAAUAUUAGGCUUAUCGUUAAAAAAUAAAAAAAUUUAAUAAGGUGACAAAUUAACAUAUAAUAUUUAUUAAGAACAAUUUAAAAUUAUAAUAAAAAAACGAGAAUUUUUUUGUCAAUUUAAUAAAAAUAAAUUUUAUUAUAACUCUCCUCUUUACCCUACCCUCCAAAAAUCC